rnacentral:rRNA from 1 species
GUCUGACGGAGCAACGCCGCCUGAGUGAUGAAGGUUUUCGGAUCGUAAAACUCUGUUGUUAGGGAAGAACAAGUACCGUUCGAAUAGGGCGGUACCUUGACGGUACCUAACCAGAAAGCCACGGCUAACUACGUGCCAGCAGCCGCGGUAAUACGUAGGUGGCAAGCGUUGUCCGGAAUUAUUGGGCGUAAAGCGCGCGCAGGCGGUUUCUUAAGUCUGAUGUGAAAGCCCCCGGCUCAACCGGGGAGGGUCAUUGGAAACUGGGGAACUUGAGUGCAGAAGAGGAGAGUGGAAUUCCACGUGUAGCGGUGAAAUGCGUAGAGAUGUGGAGGAACACCAGUGGCGAAGGCGACUCUCUGGUCUGUAACUGACGCUGAGGCGCGAAAGCGUGGGGAGCGAACAGGAUU